UCAGCCAGAGUUUCUCCCACGGCGACUGCGACCUUCUGAACGUGUACAUGGGCCAGUGAAUAUCACAAUACUGUGGCACUUGCGUUCAUUAGAAAUGAGUGGAAACCAGGCAAAUCUGAGCUCCAAAUAAAUGCAGGAGAAAUAAGGAACAUUUUUCUGACAGUGAGAACAAUCAAUCAAGUUGAUUUCCUUCGGAAGUUGUGGGACCUUCAUCCCUGGAGGCUUUCAAGAAGAGACCGGACUGUCAUUUGUCAGAAAUGGUGUAGGUUCUCCUGCUUGGGCAGGGGGUUGGACUAGAUGACCUACAAGGUCCCUUCCAACUCUGUUAUUCUAUAUUCAAUGGAACAGAAGUUGCCUUUAGAAGUUGUGAGGGCUUUAUCCCUGGAAGCUUUCAAGAAGAGACUGGAGUACCAUCUGUCAGAAAUGGUGUAGGGUCUCCUGCUUGGGUGGGGGGUUGGGCUAGAUGACCUCGAAGAUCCCCUCCAAUCUGUUAAAGUUAAAAUAUCCUAUGACUAUCACUAAGUGUUGUCUCUUAUGAUUUACAAUGAAUGUAUCUUUACGAUGACUGUGAUCAUGAUUUCUCACUUAUUGCUUUUUAUGUACACUGAGAGCUUAUGCACCGGAGACCAAUUCCUUGUGUGUCCAAUCAUG